GCCCGGAGCGGGAUGGAGCGGGGCCGGUGUGCGUUUUAGCUGAAAGCCCAGGUUUUUUCUUGAAUGGAAUUUGAGGAGGCGCAGAGAGGAGAAAAACGCUGUUACUCGAAAGAGGAAGAGUCACAGGAGGAUGCUGAGUGAACGCAGCGCCCAGGCAGGGUCAUCUGGGGACCUGGUGCGUGUGAGAACAUAUUUCUUCUCCUGGCGCCCUCCAGGCUCACUGUGGCUGGAGCCGGUGACCUGAAGCUGCAGGGCUCUGGGAUCGAAUCCUGAUAAAGUGGGAGAUUACUACAGUACUUCCAAUGGAACCACAGUUAAUUCACCAUCAUUAUUUCAAAGCAGA
rnacentral:lncRNA from 1 species